UUGGAAGUAAAGUCGUAACAAGUCUCCGUUGGUGAACCAGCGGAGGGAUCAUUAUUGAGUUCUAUAACUCCCAAACCUUUGUGAACAUACCAUUGUUGCUUCGGCGGACUCGUCCCGGGCGCGCUCUCGAGCGUGAUCCGGAGCCAGGCGGCCGCCGAGGAUACCAAACUCCUGUUUUUAUAGUGGAAUUCUGAGUAUCAUGAGUAAAUAAAUCAAAACUUUCAGCAACGGAUCUCUUGGUUCUGGCAUCGAUGAAGAACGCAGCGAAAUGCGAUAAGUAAUGUGAAUUGCAGAAUUCAGUGAAUCAUCGAAUCUUUGAACGCACAUUGCGCCCUUCAGUAUUCUGAAGGGCAUGCCUGUCCGAGCGUCAUUUCAACCCUCAGGACCCGUUCGCGGGGACUGGUGUUGGGGAUCGGCCUCCCUCCGGGGGCCGGCCCCGAAAUGUAGUGGCGGCUCUACCGCGAUCUCCUCUGUGUAGUAGCGAUACCUCGCAGCUGGAUAGCGGUUUUGCCACGCCGUAAAAC
rnacentral:misc_RNA from 1 species